CCUACGGGCGGCAGCAGUGGGGAAUAUUGGACAAUGGGGGCAACCCUGAUCCAGCCAUGCCGCGUGUGUGAAGAAGGCCCUCGGGUUGUAAAGCACUUUCAGUGAGGAAGAACGCCUGGUGGUUAAUACCCAUCAGGAAAGACAUCACUCACAGAAGAAGCACCGGCUAACUCCGUGCCAGCAGCCGCGGGAAUACGGAGGGUGCGAGCGUUAAUCGGAAUUACUGGGCGUAAAGCGCGCGUAGGUGGCUUGAUAAGCCGGUUGUGAAAGCCCCGGGCUUAACCUGGGAACGGCAUCCGGAACUGUCAAGCUAGAGUGCAGGAGAGGAAGGUAGAAUUCCCGGUGUAGCGGUGAAAUGCGUAGAGAUCGGGAGGAAUACCAGUGGCGAAGGCGGCCUUCUGGACUGACACUGACACUGAGGUGCGAAAGCGUGGGUAGCAAACAGGAUUAGAUACCCUAGUAGUC
rnacentral:rRNA from 1 species